AACGAACGCUGGCGGCAUGCCUAAUACAUGCAAGUCGAACGAUCUCUUCGGAGGUAGUGGCGCACGGGUGCGUAACGCGUGGGAAUCUGCCCUUGGGUUCGGAAUAACGUCGGGAAACUGACGCUAAUACCGGAUGAUGACGUAAGUCCAAAGAUUUAUCGCCCAGGGAUGAGCCCGCGUAGGAUUAGCUAGUUGGUGGGGUAAAGGCCUACCAAGGCGACGAUCCUUAGCUGGUCUGAGAGGAUGAUCAGCCACACUUGGACUGAGACACGGCCCAGACUCCUACGGGAGGCAGCAGGAGGGAAUAUUGGAUAAUGGGGGCAACCCUGAUCCAGCAAUGCCGCGUGAGUGAUGAAGGCCUUAGGGUUGUAAAGCUCUUUUACCCGGGAUGAUAAUGACAGUACCGGGAGAAUAAGCCCCGGCUAACUCCGUGCCAGCCGCCGCCGUAA
rnacentral:rRNA from 1 species